CCUACGGGAGGCAGCAGUGAGGAAUAUUGGUCAAUGGACGAGAGUCUGAACCAGCCAAGUAGCGUGAAGGAUGACUGGCCUAUGGGUUGUAAACUUCUUUUAUAUGGGAAUAAAAUGUUCCAAGUGUGGGAUUUUGUAUGUACCAUAUGAAUAAGGAUCGGCUAACUCCGUGCCAGCAGCCGCGGUAAUACGGAGGAACCGAGCGUUAUCCGGAUUUAUUGGGGUUAAAGCGCGCGUAGGUGGAUUGUUAAGUCAGUUGUGAACGGUUGCGGCUCAACCGUAAACUGGCAGUUGAAACUGGGAGUCUAGAGUACAGGAGAGGUGGGCGGAAUUCGUGGUGUAGCAGUGAAAUGCUUAGAUAUCACGAAGAACUCCGAUGGCGAAGGCAGCUCACUGGACUGCAACUGACACUGAGGCACGAAGGUGUGGGUAUCAAACAGGAUUAGAUACCCUUGUAGUC
rnacentral:rRNA from 1 species